rnacentral:rRNA from 1 species
UCAGGACGAACGCUGGCGGCGUGCUUAACACAUGCAAGUCGAACGAUGAAGCACCAGCUUGCUGGUGUGGAUUAGUGGCGAACGGGUGAGUAACACGUGAGUAACCUGCCCCUCACUCUGGGAUAAGCCUGGGAAACUGGGUCUAAUACUGGAUACGACCGAUCUCCGCAUGGAGUGUUGGUGGAAAGUUUUUGUGGUGGGGGAUGGACUCGCGGCCUAUCAGCUUGUUGGUGGGGUAAUGGCCUACCAAGGCGACGACGGGUAGCCGGCCUGAGAGGGCGACCGGCCACACUGGGACUGAGACACGGCCCAGACUCCUACGGGAGGCAGCAGUGGGGAAUAUUGCACAAUGGGCGAAAGCCUGAUGCAGCGACGCCGCGUGAGGGAUGACGGCCUUCGGGUUGUAAACCUCUUUCACCAGGGACGAAGCUAACGUGACGGUACCUGGAGAAGAAGCACCGGCUAACUACGUGCCAGCAGCCGCGGUAAUACGUAGGGUGCGAGCGUUGUCCGGAAUUAUUGGGCGUAAAGAGCUUGUAGGCGGUUUGUCGCGUCUGCUGUGAAAGACCGGGGCUUAACUCCGGUUCUGCAGUGGGUACGGGCAGACUAGAGUGUGGUAGGGGAGACUGGAAUUCCUGGUGUAGCGGUGAAAUGCGCAGAUAUCAGGAGGAACACCGAUGGCGAAGGCAGGUCUCUGGGCCAUUACUGACG